rnacentral:tRNA from 1 species
GCCGAUGUAGCUCAAUGGUAGAACAUCAGCUUCCCAAGCUGAAUACGCGGGUUCGAUUCCCGUCAUCGGCUCCA